GUUGGAGGAGCGCUGGAGCCCAGUUUCUGAGGGAGCCAGUGACACGCUGCUGUCACAGCUAGUGGCAGACGCAGACAGCUACUUCUUCCCCGCUGCUUCCCCAGCCCCUGGCAAGAGGGCAUCCUCUUUCAAAAGCCAGGCAGCCCGAGGAAGAUGCUCCUCCGUGCUGAGAGCGCUUCCUAGUCGCUUUCUCCUAACGUGGUGCCUGUGACCUCACCGUCCGCUUUCAGUGUCGAUUUUGUUUGGAGUUGGGUGCUAAGAUGUAAACUGACUGAAACACUUCUCAAGUGUCUACAUGUCCCAGAAGGGGAAUUUUUCGGAGGUGGCCCCUUCUUCGGAAUAGUCCGACGCCAUCAGGCCUCUGAAGCAAGGGGAGGGGGAAGAGAAAAAAGCUGAAACACAAGGUUCAUCUGAUCACCCCAGGUAGCCGUCUCACAGCGUCCAUCUAUCGAUUCUCCCUGCACGAGGUGAAGAAGAAACCACCGGCUAAGGACCACUUGCACUUGCCAGUCCCAGCCAAGGAGUCAGGUGCUGUAACCGCGGGAGCUCUUUGGCUUCAGCAACGUGGAAGGAGUGUGCUGCUAUCACUUGCCCCACGUUCAAGCUCAUCAGCCUGUGCUGGCAGAUGAAUCAUAUUUUCACUGGACUCAUUGGACUGAAAGACAAGGUUGAAUAGAAGCUGCUUUUCUGAGGGAGUGAGGCGAUGGUUGGAGCACUUGAACUUUUCUUCCAUUAAAGGAUAAACAUUAUUGCUGCUCACAAGAAAACUUGAACGAUGAUGUUCUUGGACAUUGAUGGGAAUGUCUAAUAAAGGACUGUCAUUGAUAGAGCUUGGAUUUGUCACGGGGUCCUUCUACCCGGAUAACGGUGGUGUUGAAUCAGAGCUACAGUGGGUUCUGAGUGAUUGACAUCUUCUCAUCUCUUGGCCCUGGGAGUCGAUUCAUUCAGGAUUGUGGCAAACCGGUAUUUCAGGUCCCCUUGGCAGCCCCCGGUCUCCUGAG